rnacentral:rRNA from 1 species
GACGAACGCUGGCGGCGUGCUUAACACAUGCAAGUCGAACGGAAAGGCCCUUCUUUUGUGGGGUGCUCGAGUGGCGAACGGGUGAGUAACACGUGAGUAACCUGCCCUUGACUUUGGGAUAACUUCAGGAAACUGGGGCUAAUACCGGAUAGGAGCUCCUGCUGCAUGGUGGGGGUGGGAAAGUUUCGGCGGUUGGGGAUGGACUCGCGGCUUAUCAGCUUGUUGGUGGGGUAGUGGCUUACCAAGGCUUUGACGGGUAGCCGGCCUGAGAGGGUGACCGGCCACAUUGGGACUGAGAUACGGCCCAGACUCCUACGGGAGGCAGCAGUGGGGAAUAUUGCACAAUGGGCGGAAGCCUGAUGCAGCAACGCCGCGUGCGGGAUGACGGCCUUCGGGUUGUAAACCGCUUUCGCCUGUGACGAAGCGUGAGUGACGGUAAUGGGUAAAGAAGCACCGGCUAACUACGUG